rnacentral:rRNA from 1 species
GCAGUCGAGCGCAGGAGUUAUCUGAUCCUCUUUUAGAGGUGACGAUAAUGGAAUGAGCGGCGGACGGGUGAGUAACACGUAGGCAACCUGCCUGUAAGACUGGGAUAACUCGUGGAAACGCGAGCUAAUACCGGAUAACACUUUUCAUCUCCUGAUGAGAAGUUGAAAGGCGGCUUUUGCUGUCACUUACAGAUGGGCCUGCGGCGCAUUAGCUAGUUGGUAAGGUAAUGGCUUACCAAGGCGACGAUGCGUAGCCGACCUGAGAGGGUGAUCGGCCACACUGGGACUGAGACACGGCCCAGACUCCUACGGGAGGCAGCAGUAGGGAAUCUUCCGCAAUGGACGAAAGUCUGACGGAGCAACGCCGCGUGAGUGAUGAAGGUUUUCGGAUCGUAAAACUCUGUUGUUAGGGAAGAACAAGUGCCAUAGUAACUGAUGGCACCUUGACGGUACCUAACCAGAAAGCCACGGCUAACUACGUGCCAGCAGCCGCGGUAAUACGUAGGUGGCAAGCGUUGUCCGGAAUUAUUGGGCGUAAAGCGCUCGCAGGCGGUUCUUUAAGUCUGAUGUGAAAUCUUACGGCUCAACCGUAAACGUGCAUUGGAAACUGGGGAACUUGAGUG